rnacentral:rRNA from 1 species
CAGCAGCCGCGGGAAUACAGAGGAUGCAAGCGUUAUCCGGAGUGAUUGGGCGUAAAGCGUCUGUAGGUGGCUUUUCAAGUCCGCCGUCAAAUCCCAGGGCUCAACCCUGGACAGGCGGUGGAAACUACCAAGCUGGAGUACGGUGGGGGCAGAGGGAAUUUCCGGUGGAGCGGUGAAAUGCGUUGAGAUCGGAAAGAACACCAACGGCGAAAGCACCCUGCUGGACCGACACUGACACUGAGAGACGAAAGCUAGGGGAGCAAGUGGGAUUAGAUACCCCUGAAGUCCCUGUCUCUUAUAC